rnacentral:lncRNA from 1 species
AGCAUCAGCUUUUGUGGGUUCGAUUAUAUGCUUAAAAUGGCUAGAAACAAAGAACUUUCUUCUGAAACUCGUCAGUCUAUUCUUGUUCUGAGAAAUUAAGGCUAUUCCAUGCGAGAAAUUUCCAAGAAACUGAAUAUCUCGUCCAAUGCUGUGUACUACUCCCUUCACAGAACAGCGCAGACUGGCUUUAGUCGAACAUUCAUCUGCGUGACCUACAAAUACAGCGAACUCGAAUAUUGCUAUUCAGCUCCAGUACAUUCAUGUAUACUCAUGCAGUAUGACUUCAACAUCCCCAACUCAUUUUACCCCAAGCUCUAGUGUGUGGCCCAUCGAGGUUGCUAUCCCAAGAAAGGGCACAGAUCUCUGGUCUUCUGUAUAAACAUUUGGUGAGUCCCCUCCAGGCCAAGAGCUGGGGCAGGAUGCACCAUUGCCCACAAUGUGUAUGUUGUGAUAAUGCUGCAGCUCCCCUCGGUUAAGUUGUAUAGCAUCACCGUGGAUCACUGCAAGUGGUGUGUGACAACAGCGGGCGCCAAGUAUCACUGGACCUGUUUUGCUGACAUGAACAGAGGUUAGCCAGGAGAGCAGAGGUGGAGGGGCCAUGUGCAAAGAGAACCAAGCUGUGUGGAAGACUUUUAACAAUGUUGUUGAUAGUCAAGAGUCAUGCCUUUAGAAGAGUUGCAUGUCGAUCUCUCCUGUAUUGUGUCAUUAAAUAAGAAACGGCGGCUGCUGAAAAUAUUAUACCCUUAGCAGUCUCUAUGUUUAGUUGGUUAGGUGUAGAAGCACAGUACUAACGCUCUCAGGAAAUCAGACACUAAAAUGUAAGAAUUUCUAUGGAUAUAUAUACAGGACAUACAUAACUUUCUUCAUUGUAUCAAUCAUUUGUUUUGUUUCUCACUUACCAACCAUCAUGUCACAAUACUUGUAAACAGUCAUGUGUAUUGUUAUAUGUAAGCAAUUGCACUAACUUCCAGAGCCCUAUCAUUCUCAACUGCCUAGUUGCCACAGUAGGCAAUUUGCCGUGAAUAAAAUAGAAC